CCUACGGGAGGCAGCCGUAGGGAAUCUUCGGCAAUGGACGAAAGUCUGACCGAGCAACGCCGCGUGAGUGAAGAAGGUUUUCGGAUCGUAAAACUCUGUUGGUAGAGAAGAAAGUUGGUGAGAGUGGAAAGCUCAUCAAGUGACGGUAACUACCCAGCAAGGGACGGCUAACUACGUGCCAGCAGCCGCGGUAAUACGUAGGUCCCGAGCGUUGUCCGGUUUUAUUGGGCGUACAGCGAGCGCAGGUUGUUUAUUAAGUCUGGUGUAAAAGGCAGGGGCUCAACCAUUGUAUGCAUUGGAAACUGGUAGACUGGAGUGCAGGUGAGGAGGGUGGAAUUCGAGGUGUAGCGGUGAAAUGCGUAGAUAUAUGGAGGAACACCGAUGGCGAAAGCGGCUCUCUGGCCUGUAACUGACACUGAGGCUCGAAAGCGUGGGGAGCAAACAGGAUUAGAUACCCUGGUAGUC
rnacentral:rRNA from 1 species